GCCCGAUUAGCUCAGCUGGUUAGAGCGUCGUACUAAUAUCUUGACUCCUCCAAGAUAUCAAGUCCAUGCGAAGGUCAACAGUUCAAUCCUGUUAUUGGGCA